UCCUGGUUCCCCAAAGCUGUUCCCCAAUAAAAUCUUUUUAAAAAAAAAGAAUACAUUGGACUGCAAGUAGCAAGGAAAGGAUCCAUGGUUUAAAGGAAGGGUUUUGUUCUCUCAGUUGAGAAGGGGGAUACGUAGGCAGCUACCUGUGGACCCUGGUUCUGGCUCUCAGCGAUGCCAUCAGGGACUUGGCUCUGUUUUUCCACGCCAAUCUCCUUAGCAUGUGGGCUUUUGUCCCCACGGUCACAGGACGUUCCAGCAUUGCAUCUACACUGAAGGCAAGAAAGAGAGCCACGGCAGCCUGUCUCAAUGGGAGACUAUCAGAAACACAGCUUUCCCAGAAACCCCAGCAGGCCUCGUUUUGCAUCUCCUGUGUCAUCUCAUUGCCCAGGUCACACCCUAGAUCUCUGAAAUCAGUAUUUCCAGGGAUAGGACAGAGGCGUCCUAAUUUCCAGGGAUAGAAUGUAGCCAUCCGUAGCUGCAGGGAAGGCUGGGAAAGACGGCAAGUCGCGAACAGUGUCUGCUGCAGUUACUGGGACAGCCCAGUGAAAUUUUCCCAGCCUGAGGACUAGAGCCGAUACCUUGUUGGCAAAUUAACCUUCCCACAGCCCGGCUUCACCUUCCACAGCCCACCCUUGGCAGAUCCCAGCACAUUAAAUGUAAGCUUUUCACCUCCGGUACUGUUCCUACUGGUUGUGUCAGCCAGGAAGGUUUCUUCCCACCUAUUUUUCCCGCCCCCAUUUGUUAACACCACCUACUAUGUGAGGUAAUCCUAACUAUGUUAAAAGAUUUUAAAAGCCACUUCUCUAAAGUUUUACCUCCAUCCCCAAUUUUCCGUGUGUGUGUGUGUGUGUGUGUGUGUGUGUGUCUCCUGAUACAUCACUUCUAUUGUAUAUGGUUUUCUGUAGUUCAGCAGGUGUGGGUGCUGUGGGCACCGACCUCAAAGGAUGGCGUCAUCUCUGAUGGGGGUGUGAAUUCUAAGAAGAGCCCCAUUCGCUUCUGUUGGAACUCCACUACCCAUUCAGCUGCAACAUCUGCAAAAUGGGGCAAAACUCACCUCAGGGAUCCUUGCACAGCCCUGCUGAGAAUGUGAUUGGUUUUUUGACUGGUUUACAAAAUGUGGGCGCACCUUUCCUCAGGGCCCAAUGUGAGGAUUAAAAUGAGAUGACUGCAAAGCGCACCUGGUAGACAUUUAAUGCAGUCUCCCAUCCAUUCCCCUUCUUGGAAGCCACCUGGAGAAAAAUGAUGGCAUCGUGGACCCUGGAGCCAGACUCUGACUGGCUUCAAAUCUUGGCGCUCUCACUGGGACAAGUUCGAUCUGGAACAAGUUGUUUUGCUUCCUUGUGCCUCAGUUUCUUCACCUGUAAAAUGAUACUAACUACCUACCUCACAGGGUUGUAAUGAAGUGUAGGGGCUUGGUCCUUGUGGUUAUUGCUGGCUGUGCCUGGGACUCCACAUGUUCAAAAGGGAACUCCAUAAUUUUCACUGGAAUAUAAAGGAUACCAAAGCGGAGAUUUCCUGAACCACUGACAUUGUGGAGGUAACAUGGUGGGUGGGUGGUAGGGAGCAGGGGCUCCUUGAGGUAAAUUACUAUGGGUAUGUCCAGUGUCUGGUGCAUAGUUGUUCAGUAAAUACUGGUAUCUUAUGGUCUCAUCCCGUUCUUACUACCUUGCCUAGGCCCUUCUGUGAUGACAAGCAGCCCACGUUUCCCUGCCCUUGGUCCCUUCUCCCACCCUUUGAACCUCUCACAUCUGUGACUGCCUACAGCGCAGCUCUGACUCCUGCCCGAGGUCUCUUCAUGGUAACUGCUUCACUCUCCCUGCUUCGCUUCUAUUUAUCCGGAUCUCCCUUACACCCAAACUGGAUUCUCUGCCAUCUCCCAAAAGGCGUCACCAUUUCCCUACCCAUGGGGCUUUGCUUCAGUCUCCAUCAUGCCCUAGAACUUCCUUCCAGUCUCAGUGUGUCCACAUCCUGCCCACUUCACACUGCCUUUCCGUGUCCUUAACCUGCAAGUAGAUUCCUCAAUAUGCCCAACUCUUCAUUCAUGACACGCAUGCUUACUGGGGGGGGGGGCAUGUUCUGGGCUGCUGAGCUUUUUUGUUGAGCCCCACGGUAACCUGGCAAACUUGCAGGCACUCUGUACGUUCUGAUCUUAUGUCAGCUGUUUUUGUCCCCUUCCUGGAUUGCGAAUAUUUUGAAGAUAGGGCUGUGCAUUACAGUGUGUGGAUUGUUCUAGAUGAACAACAAAAUCUGCCACACGGAGUUUUUGAUGAUGUUUUCUUUCUAGGCCUGGCACAUGCCACCAGAACAACUACUUUCAAGGUAGGGAUGUCCUGUCAACAUAAUCCCAGAGUUCUCCUGGCCUCAGCAUCCUUGACCCUCUGAGCCUUAUCAAGUAAGAGUUAAACAGUGGUUCCAGCAUGAGUGGGUUACUGGUCAGAGUCAGCAGGCUCAGCCUCAAGUAACCAGACCCAUAUGUACACAAAGCAAAUAAUUUACACAUUCAGCUUCCUUUUCUCUCUGGGAAGAACGGCAGAAAUGCAGGCGCUAGGGCUGGAGUGGGGGUGCCACGGGAGGAGGCAGCAAAGUUCAUUAGCCCCCUCAUUUGGGGCAAAGGGGAUCCGUGUGGUGACAAACAAUUGUCCUGGAGGAUUUAGGAGGAUUUGGCCAAGUGUCCCUGUGGGCCCCAAGCCUCGUCCUAAUCCGGUCCACAUUUCAGACUACUUAGGAUCGCAUUAAAUGUCAAAGCCGGCGUUUAGGGAAAUAUCUACAUUUCGUAUGCAUCGCUGGGGUCAAAAGAAAAGCUGAAACGAACCUUCGAGCAAGAAGCGCUCUGUGUGGUCCGGAGUGUGAAUGGGGACAGGGGGCUGCGCCCUCGCGGCCUCCAGGCCCAGGAAUGCGGGCUUUUCACAUGUAGAAAAUGCUAAUGCUUUGUUCCUGCUUCGGCCUCCCAGAGGCUUGGAGGCACCCGGCCGAAUUGUCACAGCUGCAUUUGCAUGUGAGCGGCCCCUUGUCUCCAUCCCCACCCCCACCCCUCCCCUCCCCCCAGCCCAGCUUUACUGGGUACUUCUGGGACUGAUGGAAAGACCGUCUGCAAAUGUCCUCUGCCAUUAUUUAUUUAAUCCCCGCUAAGGCUACUGGUAGCCUAUUGGGAAACUUUCUCAAUAUCUUUCCCCUGAGACACCAGGCAGGUGAUUUUUUUUAACUCCAAUUUCAAGGUGUUACUUAACACUUUCAAUUAUUUUAUAUGAAAUAACUUACUCCAUCAAGGAGUUGGAUGUCCAGUUUCACAUUUAUGUUCUUGUGGCAAGAACCCGGCGUUUGAUGUGACACUUUGCAGGGCCUCCAAACUAACAGUUACGUGGGUCAUCCUCUGAGUGAGCAGCCGAGAGACCACAGGUUAGCGGCGCGGAGAGGGGAGACACUCAGCCCCAAAGGGUUAAGAGGCGGCCGGAGCGCAGAUGCGCGGGUUUCAAGUGGCGAUCCUGGCAGCGCGGGCUGCGGCAGGCGGACUUGAUCCGUGGGGCCGCUCGUGGGCCUUGGGACCCAGAGCGCCACCUACCGGCCGCACGGUCGGCUGGCUCGGUGAACGAGCCCCGGAAGAGCGGGGAUGUGAUCCAGCCCGGAGCGCCCCUUCUCCCCAGCAGGGCUCCACAUGUACUGGCUUGGAAACCUACCCGCAUCUGAGGGGUGAAGCGCAUUGGAGACCCAGCAUUUCCUACAGCUGAGCUUUACCUCUGGCCGACACCCGGGGGCCCAAAGAUGCAGGAGGAAAAACUCAUCCUGCCCAACAAAUAGACUACUCAGAUUCUUUCAAUGAUUACGGUGUUGGAUUAAUUUCAU